rnacentral:rRNA from 1 species
GACAGAGGUGCCGAGCGUUAGGCGGAAUCACUGGGCUUAAAGCGUGUGUAGGCGGAUGGGUACGUACCUUGUGAAAUCCCACGGCUCAACCGUGGAACUGCUCGGUAUACUGCUCGUCUUGAGCCAACUAGGGGCGACCGGAACAAACGGUGGAGCGGUGAAAUGCGUAGAUAUCGUUUGGAACGCCGAUGGUGAAAACAGGUCGCUGGGGUUGUGCUGACGCUGAGACACGAAAGCCAGGGGAGCGAACGGG